GCCAGGUACGGUGGCACACCUGUAAUCCCAGCUGCUUGGGAGGCUGAGACAAGAGAAUCUUGAGCUCAAAGCCAGCCUCAGUAAUGAAGAGGUGUUAAGCAACUUAGGGAGACCCUGUCUCAA
rnacentral:sRNA from 1 species